GAACUCAUAUCAAAACUUUUAGACUUAAGUAUACUCUUCUCUUACUCUUGCUUUCUCUAUAUAUCUCCUGCAGGCAACAUCUGGAUUUUGGCAUAUGUCAUCAGUGAGAAAAGUGUAUGUCGUUCUAUUGGUGCAACUUCCUUUUAGUCAUCUGGAACAAGUAAAGGAAGACUGUGCGGUAGUUCCACAUGUCAACCAGAUGAGGAUCUGUACCUGAUUUUCAGGGCAGAGGAAUCGAGGAGGGAUGAACUGGGAAACUGGACUCUAUGACUACAUUCAUUUGGGGACUGUGGCAUCUCCCUUUUCCAAUGCAGUUCAACUCUUAAUCUCUAAUUUAGAGCCUGGGACACUGAAAGAUUAAAUAAUUUGCCUACAGGUACUCAGCCACCGUGUGUAAGUUUCAAUGCAAGCCUUCCUGGGGCCUAGGCUGGUUCUCUAUCCUCAAAGCAUUUUCACUUCCUCCUUCACCAGCUAAUAUGCUUAAAUCCAGGUAGGAACUGAGGUCACUACAGGCCACUGAAGCUAAUUAAUGGAUGUUCAGACCCCAAGACAAAGCAAU
rnacentral:lncRNA from 1 species